GAUGAAGAACGCAGCAAAAUGCGAUAAGUAAUGUGAAUUGCAGAAUUCAGUGAAUCAUCGAAUCUUUGAACGCACAUUGCGCCCGCUGGUAUUCCGGCGGGCAUGCCUGUUCGAGCGUCAUUUCAACCCUCAAGCCCCCGGGUUUGGUGUUGGGGAUCGGCUCUGCCCUUCUGGGCGGUGCCGCCCCCGAAAUACAUUGGCGGUCUCGCUGCAGCCUCCAUUGCGUAGUAGCUAACACCUCGCAACUUGAACGCGGCGCGGCCAUGCCGUAAAACCCCAACUUCUGAAUGUUGACCUCGGAUCAGGUAGGAAUACCCGCUGAACUUAAGCAUAUCAAUAAGCGGAGGA
rnacentral:misc_RNA from 1 species